GGUGUGGCAACUAUUAGAUGGCACCACAUAACCUUGUGGGGCACCAUAACCAAGAGUCCAAGCUUGGUUGGACUCUACACGCGCAAGAGAUGUAGGGUGUGUGCAUUUUGGCAUGAGGAGAAGGAAGAGUCCUUCUGCCUUGGAUUUAAGAUGUGUGUGGUAGCCCACAUCAUCUUUUAUUCUCUAUCACACAUCUUAAAGUAUAAGUGGAGUUUUCUAGAUUUUUUAAGGUG
rnacentral:lncRNA from 1 species